rnacentral:ncRNA from 1 species
GCUCCGAAAAGCGCAGCUCUCUGCGCGCCGAAGGUGCAACCUGACGGCCUAGCCGCCGGGGAAUCUCUCAGGUAUCAGAACGGAGGCAC